UGGGAAUUUGGACAAUGGGCGAAAGCCUGAUCCAGCAAUGCCGCGUGUGUGAAGAAGGCCUUCGGGUUGUAAAGCACUUUUGUCCGGAAAGAAAUCCUUGGCUCUAAUACAGUCGGGGGAUGACGGUACCGGAAGAAUAAGCACCGGCUAACUACGUGCCAGCAGCCGCGGUAAUACGUAGGGUGCAAGCGUUAAUCGGAAUUACUGGGCGUAAAGCGUGCGCAGGCGGUUUGCUAAGACCGAUGUGAAAUCCCCGGGCUCAACCUGGGAACUGCAUUGGUGACUGGCAGGCUAGAGUAUGGCAGAGGGGGGUAGAAUUCCACGUGUAGCAGUGAAAUGCGUAGAGAUGUGGAGGAAUACCGAUGGCGAAGGCAGCCCCCUGGGCCAAUACUGACGCUCAUGCACGAAAGCGUGGGGAGCAAAACAGGAUUAGAUACCCUGGUAGUCCACGCCCUAAACGAUGUCAACUAGUUGUUGGGGAUUCAUUUCUUUUAGUAACGUAGCUAACGCGUGAAGUUGACCGCCUGGGGAGUACGGUCGCAAGAUUAAAACUCAAAUGAAUUGACGGGGUCAUAGCUG
rnacentral:rRNA from 1 species